GAUCUCGUGGUGUGGCGGUUAUCACAUCUGUCUAACAUAGAAUGUCAGCGGUUCGAGUCCGCCCGAGAUCA
rnacentral:tRNA from 1 species